rnacentral:rRNA from 1 species
GUCGAACGGCAGCGCGGGGCAACCUGGCGGCGAGUGGCGAACGGGUGAGUAAUAUAUCGGAACGUACCCUGGAGUGGGGGAUAACGUAGCGAAAGUUACGCUAAUACCGCAUACGAUCUAAGGAUGAAAGUGGGGGAUUCGCAAGAACCUCAUGCUCCUGGAGCGGCCGAUAUCUGAUCAGCUAGUUGGUAGGGUAAAAGCCUACCAAGGCAUCGAUCAGUAGCUGGUCUGAGAGGACGACCAGCCACACUGGAACUGAGACACGGUCCAGACUCCUACGGGAGGCAGCAGUGGGGAAUUUUGGACAAUGGGCGCAAGCCUGAUCCAGCAAUGCCGCGUGAGUGAAGAAGGCCUUCGGGUUGUAAAGCUCUUUUGUCAGGGAAGAAACGGGUCUUUCUAAUACAGAGAUCUAAUGACGGUACCUGAAGAAUAAGCACCGGCUAACUACGUGCCAGCAGCCGCGGUAAUACGUAGGGUGCAAGCGUUAAUCGGAAUUACUGGGCGUAAAGCGUGCGCAGGCGGUUUUGUAAGACUGUCGUGAAA